rnacentral:lncRNA from 1 species
CUACAAAAAAUUAAAUUGAACUACUAAUUUGAAAAGGAGGGAGUAACUAACUAGGAGAUAUUAAAAUUUUUAUAUAUGUUUUAACUUAAAUGUGCUUUGUUCUUACUGAUAUUAUACUUUUACCCUACUUAGGAACCGGGGAAUUACCUUAGGAAGCUUUCAAGCUGGUUCAGCUAAAGUGGGAGUAGCAAGCUCUUACCUAGAACAUGAUGCUGAAAUAGUUGGGCAGGCACAAGUAAUUUCUGAUCCAUUUGUAUUAUCAAUGAGAUACUAUCAUAAGCAAUGUGAAUCACUAAAAUUCUAUAUUAGAAAGCAUCAUUUGUCUUCACAUGCUGGCAUGAGGAGCAGUGAAGAUGAGGAUGCCGAUCUGGGGGAUGGGUUUUCUGAGCUUGAAACUAUAGCUAGUGCUGAUGAGACCCAAGCAAGAAGUGCAUCAUGUGAAGGUAAUGAUGAAUUUAUAUCUGAAUCUGAGCUUACUGAUGAAGGCAGUGAUGAUGAAGUGACGGGAAGUAAAAAGGAGCUGGAACUAUCAGAUAUUAAGGCUGAGAGAAGUAAGAAAAAUUUUGAACAAAAAAGGACUUCUGGAAAAUUGUUGAAUGCUGUUAUAACUGCUCCAGCCUUGUCUAUUAAGAGUGUGUUGCAUAAGUGGGUUGAAGACGGCAAUGAGGUGAAGAAAUCAGAUAUAAUGAUGAUCAAUUUAGAUCUUCGGAAACGUCAGAUGUACGGGAGGGCCUUGCAGGUAUAUUAACAUUUUGCAUAUAAUUUAUGCUUGUUUAUCCAUUAUGCUGCAUCUGUGUUCACAUACUCACCUGUUAGUCUCUUAAAAGAUUGAUAGACAACAACUGUAAACAUAUGUUGCAGGUAGUCUAAGCAUGGUGAAAUGCGGUAUGAAAACUAUCUACAGUGUAAGAAUGGUUUAAUCAAUUGCCCUAGGUUUUAUCUGAGUACAUAAAUAUUUAAUCCACAUUAGUUGGUCAUAAGACAAUUACCUAUAUUGCUUGCCUAUAUUGCAACUCAUAAGGCAAUUACUACAAACGAAUUCCAAUGCUUGCCUUUUUUGUUGGAUCUCUUGUGAUCGCUUCAUUUUCCAGACAUUCUUCAUACGUGUUUUUGGUAUGCUGAAUCAUGUCUGAUGUGUCCAAGCAUCUCCCCCUCCAAAUGCGCACAGCAACGUACAUAAUUCCAAUAUAAUCAAAUCUCAGUUCUUCCUCACCGGAAGAACUAUUUUCCCCGAACAAGACAAGAAAACAUUCAUAUGCACAAAUCUCACACACACACAUGCACAUCUAUAUUCAGUCAAUAUGGGCCGGAUUAUGCUUUUAAACAACCCCUAGUGAUUAUCUCUGCCAGUUGAUAUACCUGCUUGAUAUACACUGCACUCUGACAAUGGAAUUUUGGUGGGUUCUUUAUUUUACUAAAUGCCACAACAUAGGUGAAGAAUAAUAGAGUUUUGUCUAGGACCAAACUAUAUAUUUCAACCCAAUUAUGUUGCUUUGUUUUAUCUUGGAUUCUGUGUAAAAGGUCAAGGAUCAUGUAGAAUGAUGAUCUGUAAAGGCUACUUAAUCUAAGCAUCUGCUGUCCUGUUUUGCAGGUCUUAGAAUGGUCUGCGGAUCGAUAUGAAUUUUCUGAAAGAGAUUAUGCUUCUCGCCUUGAUUUGACUGCCAAGGUACAGGGACUUGUAAAAGCAGAACACUACAUUAAGGAGAUUCCAGAAGCUCACAGAGGAGAGGUUGUCUACCGGACCUUUUUGGCUAAUUGUGUUGUCGCUGAAAAUUUAAAGAAGGCAGAAGAAGUGUUUAACAAGAUGAAGGACUUGGGGCUUCCACUUACAGCCUUCGCUUGUAAUCAACUGCUCUUGAUGUAUAAGAGGACUGACAAGAAGAAAAUGGCUGACAUAUUGGUCCACAUGGAGAAUGAAAAUGUCAAACCCACUGUCUUCACUUAUAAUCUAUUAAUAGACACCAAAGGCAUGUACAAAGAUAUAAGUGGAAUGGAUCAAAUAGUAAAAACCAUGAAGGAAGAGGGCAUAGAGCCUGUUAAUCAUACUCAUAACAUAAUGGCAAAGCAUUACAUCUCUGCCGGGUUUAUAGAUAAAGCUGAAGCUGUUGCGAAAGAGAUGGAAGGAGGUGAUUUACGUGAUAACCGUGCUGCUUGCAGGUAUUUGUUGGUACUAUAUUCAUUGCUUGGGAAGGCAGACGAAGUGGUUAGAAUCUGGAAAUUUUGUAAAUCCGAUGCCAAUUAUUUUGAGUGUGUAGCUGCUAUUGAUGCUAUGGGAAGAUUAAAGAAAAUUAAAGAAGCAGAAGAAGUCUUGGAGCAGACGAGAAAAAGGUGGAGAAGGCCCUCUUCAAAGGUUUAUACUACUCUGUUGAAAGUCUAUGUGGAUAAUAAUAUGCUGGCCGAGGGAAGAGAUUUGGUGAAGCAGAUGGCAGAGAGUGGGUGCAUUAUUGGUCCAUUAGUUUGGGAUGCGCUUGUCAGACUUCAUGUGGAAGCUGGUGAGGUAGAAAAAGCCGACACAAUUUUGCACAAGGCUAUUCAGCAAAAGCGGAUGAAGCCUUUUUUUAAUACAUUCAGAACAAUCAUGGAGCAGUAUUCCAAGAAAGGUGAUGUACGCAAUGCAGAAAAAAUAUUCCACAGAAUGCGAGAAGCUGGUUAUGGGGCCAGGUACCAGCCAUUUGAACUUCUACUCAACACCUAUAUAAAUGGCAAGACUCCAGCUUACGGGAUGAACCAGAGAAUGAAGGCCGAAAAUAUAUUUCCGAGCCAGCGAUUAGCUGCAAUGUUAGCCCAGGUAGACCCAUUCAAGAAAACCCCUGCAUCUGAACUUUUGGAUUGAAGACCAGUAGCUUACAAGUAUCUGCAGCACUACCUAUGUCCGCUGUCCAGCCAACCGCUGUCUUUGGCGCUUAUUUUUGUUAUAAUCCAGAUGUUUCAAAUAUUAUGAAUUGUUCUGUGGCUGGUCUUCCCUUCUCCUCUUAGAGCAACAGGAUGCAUAUGAUUAACCCCUUCUCUGGAAUUUGUUCGCUGUGUGCAGCCCCUAACCUUGUUUAGAACAGGGCAGUAUUGAUGCAAUUUGGUCAAAUUAAAACAAUGCAGUAUUGAUGGAAUUUGGUCAAAUCGAUUUUGUUCGUCCAAUUAAAAGUAAAUGACCUUUUUGUUUACACAGUUCCAUACAAACCUCAGUUGUAUGAAACAGAAUAGAAAUCAUUUUACCUGUUUUUGAAAUCUGAUAUUCAAAUACAAAUUCGAUUUCUGUCGGUACAUAAUGAAUGUAAUUUCUUCAUCAAUUCAAUUUUUGUUGUGACAAAUAAUAAGUGUAAUUUCUCCGUCAAUUUAUUAUGUCAUUAUGUGAUACAUAUGAGAUGGACAUUCAUCUUAGUUGAAAUUAAUUGUUAAAAUUAUAUAUAUAAUGUUGUUAGACAGAUGUAACUUCCGUAUUUUAGCAAAAAAUAUCAAAAACAUGAUAUUUUUGUGAGAAUUAAACGAACCUACUCCCUGUGUCCCAAAUAAAAUAAGCGUCGUUUUGACUUUCUGCGCGUAAUUUGAGAUAAAAAAAAACAUACUUUUAUAUAUUAUUUUUCAAAUUUUUUUUCUUCUAAAUAAAAAAAUAAUUAUAAAUUUUUAUUCAGAAAAAAAAAUUUGAAAAAUAAUAAGUGAAAAUAUGUUUUCUUUACGCCUCAAUUUACGUGCAAAAAAAUCAAAAUUACGCUUACCUGGAACAGGGGAGUAUAUGUAACAUAAACAAUCACCUGUUUAUUUAUGGUUUGAAGGCUUUUCUUGAAUUUGCAAAUAACACUCGCAUUCAUCUUCAUCUCCGGCAAUACCACUAUGUGGGCUCUACGUCGAUCUUCCACUUCGCUCAAGUAACACACACAAACACACACAGUUGGUUCAAGUUAUAUGAGAUUCUUAUCUUCUUAGUAUACUUUUUCAUUAAUUUCAUUCCACUACUUCAUUUUAUAUGUUUUUAGCUACUGUAAGUAAUGUUUUCUGUAAUUUAUGUAAUGUUUCUAGUGUCAAAGUGUUGGUUUUUUAGUGUGUUCAAAAUUGUUUGAUAUUGUGUGAUUGACUGAUUUGUUAGGUUUGUAUGUUGUUUUCUGGGUGAAAAUGAGUUUGAUGGUUUGAAUAUGAGAAGGGUUUACGGUAAUUACGUACAUUUAUUGUUUUGUAAUCGGAUUUUGUACCAUGUACCUGUCCGAUGUUCGCUUUUGGUGUAGUUUUGGAUUUUGGCAUACUAAAGUGCUGUAUGGAUUGUUACUGGGGAGGGCAGCGCUGGUUAUGGAAAUGAUUUGGAAUCUCGAGGAGUAUGUAGGGAAUGAUAUACCAGAUUAGUUGGAAUAGGGAAUGAGGUUUUCAUUCCGACCAAUUAAAAUGCUCAUUCAAUCACUAGCAAUUUAGAUUAAGGUUUGAGUUCCAGGUUAUAAAAGUUACGGGUAAGGUUGUGUGUGUGUGUUUGGGGGGGGGGGGGGGGCUUUNGACUUUCUCCAGAACAUUAUAUUAAGAAUUAUUGUCCGAAGGCAAUAAUCUGUGGUAUGAGUAUUUUCUUUAAUCUUAUGUUUAAUGUUCUAGCAUAAGUAAUUCCAACCAAGAGUUGUGCUCAGAAAACAACGUAGUCAAGACUCAAUUAGUGGACUUUUCAUAUUUUAGGUAGUCAUUAGUCAAGUAGACUUGAGCUCUUUCUCCUUAACAUCCUUUUAUUAAGUUGAAAAGUUUACUUUUGUCACUUAAAGUGAUACAUCUUGUAGAACAGAAAAUGGAUGAAGUGGUUAUUCUUCCCGAUCGCAGCUUAUAAUAUUAAUCUCAACAUAAGCUGGGUUGCUGAAAUCUGAGUACUGCUCUGGGAUUUUUCCUGUCUACUUCUAUUGUCUAGGCCCCUUUGAUUGUUUAAGUUUGCAUAAGUAGUUUCUCAUUGAGUUAUACUUGCUCCAUUUCAAAGUAGUAGUCCAAUUUGACUUUUUGUGGUCAAAUUGACCAAACUUUGACUGAAAUUUACAUGUAUUUAAUAACUAUUAAAGAGUAUAUAUAAUUUACUUUAAAAUGUAUUUUCAAUAUCAGAAAUUGUGAAAGAAGAUUUUUUUUAUUUUUUUUUGCUAAAUGAAAGAAGAAUUUUUAAUAUCAGUCAAACCAAAUUUCGUCAAUUCGACGGCAAAAAAUUAAAUUGAACUACUAAUUUGAAACGGAGGGAGUAACUAACGAGGAGAUAUUAAAAUUUAAUAUAAGAUUAUAAGUUUUAACUUAUAUGCGCUUUGUUCUUACUAAUAUUAUAUUUUUACCCUACUUAGGAACCGGGGAAUUACCUUAGGAAGCUUUCAAGCUGGUUCUGCUAAAGUGGGAAUAUCAAGCUCUUACCUAGAACAUGAUGCUGAAAUAGUUGGGCAUGCACAAGUAAUUUCUGAUCCGUUUUUAUGUUCAAUGAGUUAUCGUCAUAAGCAAUGUGAAUCACUAAAACUCUAUAUUGGAAAGCAUCAUUUGUCUUCACAUGCUGGCAUGAGGUACAGUAAAGAUGAGGAUGAUGAUCUCGGGGAUGGGUUUUCUGAGCUUGAAACUCUAGCUAGUGCUGAUGAGACCCAAGCAAGAAGUGCAUCAUGUGAAGGUACUGAUGAAUUGAUAUCUGAAUCUGAGCUUUCUGCUAGGGGCAGUGAUGACGAAGUGGCGGGAUGUAAAAAAGAGCUGGAAUUAUCAGAUAUUAAGGCUGAGAGAAGUAAGAAAAAUGUUGAACAAAAAAGUACUUCUGGCAAAUUGUUGAACGCUGUUAUAACUGCUCCAGCCUUGUCUAUUAAAAGUGUGUUGCACAAGUGGGUUGAAGAUGGAAAUGAGGUGAAAAAAUAUCAUAGAAAAAAGAUCAUUUCAUAUCUUCAGGAACGUCAGAUGUAUGGGAGGGCCUUGCAGGUUUGUUGACAGUUUGCAUAUAAUUCCUGCUUGGUUAUCCAAUAUGCCGCAUCUGUGUUGACAUACUCACUUGUUAGUCUCUUAAAAGAUAGAUAUCUUGGUCAACAACUGUAAAAAUAUAUUGUUAUGAAAACUACUACUAUAUUCUAAGCACGGUAAAAUGCGGUAUGAAAACUAUCUAUGGUAUAAGCAUGGUAUAAUCAAUUGCCCUAGGUUUCUAAUUAUCUGAGUACAUAAAUAUUUUAUCCACAUUAGUUGGUCAUUAUUAUUAGUAAAUUAACUUUUUAACAUGCAACUUUUACUUGGUAAUACAGACAAAAGCAAUGCAUAAUUGAGUAUAAGAACUUCAAACCUCGUCUUUGCCUGGUGUCCUUUUCCAAAUCAUUUAUGUACCAGUUUCUUUGAAAGUUGUAACAAUGUAAAACUUGAAAUAAAUACUUAAUUAUAUUUCUCAUACUUUAGCUUAAAUCCAAAAUCACUUUCGUUUUAAGACUUUUAAGUUGUCAUUCCGUUCAUCUGUGUUAACCUAUUCCAUUUGCAUCUCUGAGGCUAUAACAAAUUACUUGUGUCAAUAUUUAGAAGCACGCUAGACAUUUUCACUAUAAAUACUUGAAUUUUUUUUUUUUUUUUUUUUUUUUGGGGGGGGGGGGGGGGGGGGCGCUAAAAACGAACUCAUUUGUGCUUGCAACUCAUAAGACAAUUACUACAAACGAACGCUUGCCUUUUCUGUUGGAUCUCCUGUGAUCGCUUCAUUUUCCGGCAUUGUUCAUAUGUGUUUUUGGUACGCUGCAUCCUGUCUGAUGUGUCCAAGGAUCCCCUCCCCCCCCCCCCCCCCCCCAAAUGCAUUCAGCGACAUACAUAAUUCCAAUAUAGUCAAAUCUCAGUUCUUUCUCAUCAGAACAACUAUUUUACCCGAACAAGACAAGAAGACAUUCAUAUGCACAACACUCACUCAUUCAUAUGCACAACACUCACACACACACACACACACAUCUAUCUUCAGUCAGUAUGCGCUGGAUUAUGCUUUGAAUCCCUAGUGAUUAUCUCUGCCAGUUGAUAUACCUACUUGAAAUAUACUGCACUCUGACAAUGGAAUUUUGGUGGGUUCUUUUUUUUUUACUAAAUGCCCCAACAUUGGUGAAGAUUAAAAGAGUUUUUGUAUAAAACCAAACUAUAUAUUUUAACCAAAUUAUGUUGCUUUGUUUUGUCUAGGAUUCUGUGUAAAAGGUCAAGGAUCAUAUAGAAUGAUACUAAUCUGUUAGGGCUACAUAAUCUAACUAUCUGCUGUACUGUUAUACAGGUCUUAGAAUGGUCUGCGGAUCGAUAUGAAUUUUCUGAAAGAGAUUAUGCUUCUCGCCUUAAUUUGACUGCCAAAGUACAGGGCCUUGUAAAAGCAGAACAGUACAUUAAGGAGAUUCCAAAAGCUCACAGAGGAAAGGUUGUCUGCCAGACAUUUUUGGCUACUUGUGUCGUCGUCGAAAAUUUAAAGAAGGCAGAAGAAGUGUUCAACAAAAUGAAAGACUUGGGGAUUCCGCUUACAGCCUUCGCUUGUAAUCAACUGCUCUUGAUGUGUAAGAGAACUGACAAGAAGAAAAUGGCUGACAUAUUGGUCCACAUGAAGAACGAAAAUGUCAACCCCACUGCCUUCACUUAUAAUCUAUUAAUAGACACCAAAGGCCUGUACAAAGAUAUAAGUGGAAUGGAUCAAAUAGUAAAAACCAUGAAGGAAGAGGGAAUAGAGCCUGUUAAGCAGACUCUUAACAUAAUGGCAAAGCAUUACAUCUCUGCCGGGUUUAUAGAUAAAGCUGAAGCUGUUGCGAAAGAGAUGGAAGGAGGUGAUUUAAGGGAUAACCGUGAUGCUUGCAGGUAUUUGUUGGAAAUAUAUUCAUUGCUUGGGAAGGCAGACGAAGUGAAUAGAAUUUGGAAAUUUUGUGAAUCCGAUGCCAAUUAUUUUGAGUGUGUAGCUGCUAUUGAAGCUUUAGGAAGAUUAAAGAAUAUUAAAAAAGCAGAAGAAGUCUGCGAGCAGACGAGAAAAGGGUGGAGAAAGUCCUCUUCAAAGGUUUAUUCUACUCUGUUGAAAGUCUAUGUGGAUAAUAAAAUGCUGACCGAGGGAAGAGAUUUGGUGAAGCAGAUGGCAGAGAGUGGGUGCAUUAUUGGUCCACUAGUUUGGGAUGCGCUUGUCAGACUUCAUGUGGAAGCUGGUGAGGUAGAAAAAGCCGACACAAUUUUGCACGAGGCUAUUCAGCAAAAGCAGAUGAAGCCUUUCUUUUAUACAUUCAGAACAAUUAUGGAGCAGUAUUCCAAGAUGGGUGAUGUACACAAUGCAGAAAAGAUAUUCCACAGAAUGCAAGAAGCUGGUUACGUGGCCAGGUACCAGGUAUUUGGAAUUCUACUUGAAGCCUAUGUAAACGGCAAGACUCCAGCUUACGGAAUGAACCAGAGAAUGAAGGCCGAUAAUAUAGUUCCGAACCAGCGAUUAGCUGCACUGUUAGUCCAGGUAGACCCAUUCAAGAAAACCCCCGCAUCUGAACUUAUGGAUUGAAGACUAGUAGCUUACAAGUAGAAGCAGCAAUACCUAUGUCCGCUGUCCAGCCAACCCCUGUCUUUGACGCUUAUUCUUAUUAUAUAUAAUCCAGAUGUUUCAAAUAUUAUGAACUGCUCUGUGGCUAGUAUUCCCUUCUCCUGUUAGAGCAACAGGAUGUAUAUGAUUAACUACUCUGGAAUUUGUUUACUGUGUUCAGCCCCUAACUUUGUUUAAAACAACGCAGUAUUGAUGCAAUUAGGUCAAAUCGACUUUGUACAUCCAAUUAAAAGUUAAAUGACCUUCUUUCUUUCUUGUUUUUGAAGUUAAUGACCUUUUUGUUUACAUAGUUUCAUACAAACCUCAGUUUUAUGAAACAGAAUAGGAUACAUUUUAUCUGUUUUUGAAAUCUGAUAUUCAAAUACAAAUUCAAUUUCUGUCGUGAAAAAUAAUGAAUUAGAUUUCUCCAUCAGUUCAAUUUCUUUGAUGACAAAUGGUGAGUAUGAUUUUAAACGGUGAAUAUGAUUUUUCUAUUAAUUCAUCUUGUCAUAGACGUUAUACACACAUAUUUAAUGAAUUCUCAUAUUUCUAUUAUUUUUUCUUGAUAUUUAGACGGACAUACACACAUUCAUAUUAAUAAUUGAAGUUUUUUCAAAUAUAUUUUUUAAGUUAUAAUUAUUAUUGCUUAUUAGAAUGCUAGUAGUUUUAAAUGUAGCUGCAAAUAUAAAUUAUGUAUAUUUAUUAAAACAUUCAGAAAUGAUAUUUUUAUGACUUUUAUUUGAAAUUGUGUUUCUAUAAAUUUUUUAAAAAAAUUGCAAUAAUUUUACAAAAAACUUUCUGGACCUUGAUAUUAAAAAAAAAUUCUUAUUUAAAAUUCAUUAACAGGCAGAGACGUGUGUAAUUGAUAUAUUUUUAGAAGAAAUUUUUUCAUUAAAGAAAUACAUAUAUAUUCAACACGAAUUUUAUCAGAUAUAUAAAAAAAAUUGAGAAAUUUAAUUAAAGUUUAUAAUUUAUGUUAUGAAAUCUGGGGCAACAAUGCUAAAACAUGCAUUCAAUUGGGAUUUGGGGAUCAAUGGUAGUCUAAAUGCUAAAAGCAGGCAAGAAGACAUAAUAAUUAAAUGAAUCUUUAUGUAAUUAGGGUUUAUCUAUGGUUUAAAGGCUUUCUUGAAUUUGCAAUUAACACUCGCACUCAUCUUCAUUUCCGGCAGUACCACUAUGUGGGCUCUCCGUCGAUCUUCCAUUUCACUCAAGUAAGUUACACACACAGAGUUGGUUUAAGUUAUAUGAGAUUUUUACUUUCUUAGUAUACUUUUUCAUUAGAUUCAUUCGAGUACUUCAUUUAGUGUCAUUUUAUAUGUUUUUAGCUACUGUAAGUAAUGUUUUCUGUAGUUUGUGUAAUGUUUCUAGUGUAAAAGUGUUGACUUUUUUGGUGUGUUUAAAAUUGUUUUAUAUUGUGUGAUUGACUUGAUUUCUUAGGUUGGUAUUUUGUUUUCUGGGUGAAAAUGAGCUUGAUGGUUUGAAUAUGAGAAGGGUUUAUGCUAAUUACGUACAUUUAUUUUUUUGUAAUCGGGUUUUGUACCAUGUACCUGUCCGAUGUUCGCUUUUGGUGUAGUUUUGGAUUUUGGCAUACUAAAGUGCUGUAUGGAUUGUUACUGGGGAGGGCAGCGCUGGUUGGUUUCCGUUCCAACCAAUUAAAAUGCUCAUUCAAUCACUAGCAAUUGAGAUUAAGGUUUGAGUUCCAGGUUAUAAAAGUUGCGGGUAAGUUUUUUUUUUUUUUUUUUUUUUGGGGGGGGGGGGGUGUUAAACAGAUUUUAGCCUAUUUGAAAUUUAUUUAAAAAUAAAAUUGCUAUUAUUGUCUUAAGUCACGGUGGAACUUCCUCCAGAACAUUAUAUUGAGAAUUAGGGAUAAGUUCUAUGGAGACCACAUUUUCAUUGGAGACUUGGUAAUUACUGCAACUAAAAUACUCCAUAAAAACAUUGCAAAACGUAUUAUUUUUUGAAUUAUGUUCUACAAAGAUCAUUAUUUUAUUGACAAUCUUGCAAAUUUUAUACAUUUGGCAAAUAAAACAUUAAAAAACAUGUUAUUUUACAAAAUCAUGUUUAGUGUGCAGAACAUUUGUUGAUCUUGCAGAACAUACAUGUUCUGCUUGUUUAGCAUAAAUAAUUUUCAACAUUUUCAAUGAAAUAGUGAUAUUUAUCGAAUGCACUUCGCAAAACAAUAAAUUUGGUAGUGUUUUAAUUGCAGAAUAUAAGUGGUCUCCAAGGUCUCCGAUGAGAACGUGGUCUCCACAGAACUUUUCUGGAAUUAUUGUCUGCAGGCAAUAAUCUGUUAUACAAGUAUUUUCUUUAAUCUUAUGUUUAAUGUACUUGCAUAAGUAAUUCCAACUAAGAGUUGUGCUCAGAAAAUAACAUCGUCAAGACUCAAUUAGUGGACUUUUCAUAUUUUAGGUACUCAAGUAGUAGUUACUCGAGCUCUUUCUCCUUAACAUACUUGUAUUACGUUGAAAAGUUUACUUUUAUCACUUAAAGUGAUACAUCUUGUAGAACAGAAAAUGGAUGAAGUGGUUAUUCUUCCUGGAUUGCAGCUUAUAAUAUUAAUCUCAGCAUAAGCUGGGUUGCUGAAAUCUGAGUACUGCUCUGGGAUUUUUCCUGUCUACUUUUUCUGUCUAGGCCUCUUUGAUUAUCUAGGUUUGCAUAAGCAGUUUCUCAUUGAGUUAUACUUGCUCCAGUUCAAAGUAGUAGUCCAAUUUGACUUUUUGUGGUCAAGUUGACCAAACUUUGACUGAAAUUUACACGUAUUUAAGAACUAUUAAAGAGUAUAUAUAAUUUAAUUUAAAAUGUAUUUUCAAUAUCUUAAAAAGAAGAAUUUUUAUUAUCAGUCAAUUAAAAUUUGGUCAAUUUGACAGCACAAAAUUAAAUUGAACUACUAAUUUGAAACGGAGGGAGUAACUAACGAGGAGAUAUUAAAAUUUUACUAUAAGAUUAUAAGUUUUAACUUAUAUGUUCUCUGUUCUUACUAAUAUUAUAUUUUUACCCUACUUAGGAAUCGGGGAAUUACCUUAGGAAGCUUUCAAGCUGGUUCUGCUAAAGUGGGAGUAUCAAGCUCUUACCUAGAACAUGAUGCUGAAAUAGUUGGGCAUGCACAAGUAAUUUCUGAUCCGUUUGUAUGUUCAGUGAGAUAUCAUCAUAAGCAAUGUGAAUCACUAAAACUCUAUAUUGGAAAGCAUCAUUUGUCUUCACAUGCUGGCAUGAGGAGCAAUAAAGAUGAGGAUGAUGAUCUGGCGGAUAGGUUUUCUGAGCUUGAAACACUAGCUAGUGCUGAUGAGACCCAAGCAAGAAGUGCAUCAUGUGAAG